UCCCCUGUCCUCGCCCUCUCUCCAUGAGAUCCACCCAUGACCUCGGGUCCUCAGCCCAGCCGAAGGAACUUCUCACCAAUUUUAAAUCGGAGACAGAGGAGACACGUUUUGUCCAUGAACUCAAAAUUCUGCUGCUGGUCACAGACUCGGGAAGACAGUCUUCCCUUGGUGUCUAAUCACUGUGGGGAUGCAUGUCUGAUUAUUCACCCACAUUCCAGAGGUGUCUGACCACUGCAGGGACGCCUGCCUUGAUCCUUCACCUUGGUGGCAAGUACCACCUCCCCUGGAUGGGACGCAAAGCCAACAAGAAUGAAGAAGUGGCCAGGUAUGGUGGCUCAUGCCUGUAAUCCCAGCACUUAGGGAGGCCGAGGAGGAAGAAUUGCUUGAGGCCAGGAAUCCCAGACCAGCCUGGACAACAUGGCAAAAUCCAGUCUUUACAAAAAAAA
rnacentral:lncRNA from 10 species